UUCUCCUACUCCCUCGAGGUCAGGAGACGAGAUUUUCCCCUAGCUUUUUCCCCCCUUUUCAACAGCAAAUCGCGGUAAUUUCCUUUGCGGUCAUCGACAUUUCUCAUUCACCGAGAUGCUGCCUAGACAAACGCCGCGGUAACGUUCGAUGAGAAUCAAUCGAGAAAGCAACGCGUAUGGAGGUUUCAAUCGAUCUUUCACUUGCACUCUUCACUAUUUCGUUCUAUUAUGAUGUUCGAGCGAAAUUCUCUUUCUGGUUACCGCCUGUUGGCCAUAGCUCCGUACUACUCACAGAUGCCCUCUACGUUUCCAAUCCUAGAUUCUCGAUCAGUGGCGUAGCAAUUGGAAAACUCGAUUCGAUCGAUUUUGUACAUAUAUCCUAUUUCGUCACCUACACAACUACGUAGCGAUGUAAAUUGAAUGGAUAGGUUAUGAUUAUAGGAUCGUGUGCAAUUUCUAAAAUACAUCGUAACGAAGAAAGUAUUCGUAAACCGGAUUUGUGUAGCAAUUAUGUUGUUACUAAACUUAUCAUGCAGAUCUACAAUGGCAAGAAAGCAUGUAUUAUCAAAACGUUACUUUCGUACUUUCACGAUUAGCACAAAUGACGCAUCGACCCUUCGUCCCGUAUAAUGGUAUGGAUCCUAACUAAUGACACUCUUCAUUGUUCAAACGAAACCGAGGACCGAUAAAUCGGCCCUGCCACAGCGAGUCGCCUUCAGAGAAGGAGGAAGGGACUGAAACAAAAAUGUCUCUUGCAGAAUGAACGAUCUCACCUGGUCGACUCGUUCUACUACGCGUGGAAUUGCACGGAGAUGAGAGGACGGCAGCCACUCAGACAUUCCGUUCCUCGUACGAACAGGUUUCCUACCGAUUGCAGAAAAAAACUACUUAGACUCAAAUAAUUGCUGGAAGUAUGCUGAACCACAUGGGAACUCGUCGAUCGCGCUAUGAAAAGCCCGAAAGUGAUAGUCCCAAAAGACCGUAUCAAUGUUGAUUAAAAAUCGUCGUUUCCACGCAUGCGUCACUCUUAGCCACUAUCAGUCUUAUUCGCCGAGACUAUAAAUGGACGAAUAUGAUAUAUAAGAAUGAUUAUUUUUAAAAUACUUUUUAGAUAACUUAGGACGUACAUUAAAAUAUUAUUUGAUAAUCAUAUAAUUAGGUAACAUGUAGUUGUUUGAUGUAUAAAAUUAUAUAUAUAUAUUUUGUAAAUACUGCUUGAAAUGGUAUCGAAAAAGAUGGUUAGACGAGAUAUUCGAAUAUCAUGGUAAGAAAUUCCACGAUGUACGCCAAAAUUCCCUAGGGGCACUUGGGUCAACAGGAAGUCAAGGCCACGCGGUCAAUUGCCCCGCGAUCCGUCGCCGUUAUAAAUAGAUACAAGCGGCCGGUAUCUACGCAUCUAUUUGCACGCAUGCUGUAAAAUCCGAAUCGGAGUUAUUCCGACCGGAGUAUAGAUGGUUUUUGCUUUCCCUGGACUUUUUUCCUAGCGCGUCUCAGAAACCUCCCAUUGAUAAAGUGGCACGUAAUGAAUGUAUCGAUCGUUGAAUCCCCUAACGCUCUAACUGUUUAUUCCUAUUAAUACCAGUUUAAUGAAAGGAAUGAGUUUCUUUCAGAUAUCCCUUUAUAAAUACGGCCGUCGCCAUUCUAAAUAAAGGACACAAGAGAAAUGGAGAAUCGUGGGCCUCUGGUUUCUAUAUAAGUUAAUAAAUUGAAUAGUCCCAGAAUAAAAUAAAGCAAGGAUUGAAGACAAACAAAAGAUCGUCUACUUAUUGUUAAAGAAAUUGAAAGUCUUUCUCUCAAUUUUUAUAUUUUAGUACAUUCAUUCUGGAUCACUGAUUAUAUAUAACUAGGAAAAACUUGCAAAAUAUGAAAUGCAAGAGUAAUCUAUAAUUUCUUAGACUUUUGACAUUAUUAAAGAAAUAACUCACAGUUAAUUUGUCAUUUAAUAUUCUUCUGAAUUCCGCCCCUGUUAUCUUUGCUUUAUAAUACGUGUUUCCGAGAAAUGCAUCGCAUGAUUUCCUCUAUAAUUUACAAACAAGUGAGUUCUUUCGAAAAAAGAGCAAAAUAAUUAUCCGACAUCCAGAAUGUUGUGUUCCACUAGUAUGUAUUAACACACAAAGAUACGUUGUUGUAAUGAAAUGUCAGAUAUUAUCACAAUACGGAGCAGAAGGAAACAGUUCCUAUGAAACAAGAAGAGUACUUAUUGAUCCGGUAGGUGGUGGAUGUAGCAAGCAUGGCUUAUAAAUGCCAUCCGCUACGAAAACUACAUAUAACCGAUGCCAAUACUCUCUUUGACGUGGAAUUAUUAUGCAAGCCAAUUCUUUACGAGAAGGGUCAUCAAAUAAUUCAAUGAAAAAUAUCAAUUAACGAUAUGGUCUAUUUUAUAUUCUUAGACGUCGGAAAAUGCAAAAGUUGAUAGCAGGAUGAAUUAUCUAGAACCAAUGAUUUGUUAUAAUCCUUUGAAAUUCUUAAAUGUAAUACGUACAUAUAUUAAUGGAGUACCUUAAUAUUAAACAGGCUCUAAUUUCUUAUUUUUCCUCUAAUUAUGUUGACAUGUAUUUUUUAUUUCGUGACUUGUUUUAUUUUUCUUUCAUUUUUAAUAAAUAUUUAAAAUUUUUUCUGACCAGGCUUCAAUACGAUUUGAUAAAAGAUACAGCUUCGCGGAUAAAUUCAAGGGGAAUAACCCUGUACCACCCUAUACCGGCAGAAUAUAUAAUCUCGAGGUCAUUGCCCGAGCGAUCUUUGGGGGUUCCACCAUGCCUGAAACGGGGGUGAGGUAACUCGGAAUACUGGGCAGAUAUCGACCACUUUCCCCUAAAAGCUAAAAUGCAAGGAUGCAAUUAAAUAUCUUUACACAUCCUAUUUAUAAAAUACAUAAAAAUCAAUUUAACAUAAAUUUACAAAAAAUAUUAAUAAAUAACU